UCCAAUUGCUAUAGCUAGCGCUUCUGUUCGAACCAAGUCAGGCUAGAAAUAGAGCAGCUUUAAGGACAGAACGUUGAGUUAUAGUACUCUUUACCUU
rnacentral:SRP_RNA from 1 species